rnacentral:misc_RNA from 1 species
GAUGAAGAACGCAGCGAAAUGCGAUAAGUAAUGUGAAUUGCAGAAUUCAGUGAAUCAUCGAAUCUUUGAACGCACCUUGCGCCCUUUGGCCAUUCCGAAGGGCAUGCCUGUUUGAGUAUCAUGAACACCUCAACUCUCAUGGCUCGCCAUGAUGAGCUUGGAUUUGGGGGUCUUGCUGGCCUGUGGUCGGCUCCUCUCAAAUGGAUCAGCUUGCCAGUGUUUGGUGGCAUCACAGGUGUGAUAACUAUCUGCGCUUGUGGUUUUCCAUCAGAUAACCUUCAGUGAUGGAGGUUCGCUGGAGCUCAUAAACGUCUCCCCUUAGCGGGGACAGCCCUUUGAAUGUUUGAUCUCAAAUCAGGUAGGACUACCCGCUGAACUUAAGCAUAUCAAUAAGCGGAGGA